AUGGACUCGUUCAAGCAGAAGGCGAAGAACGUGUUCACCACACGCGAAGGCGCGCUGGAAGCCGCCGCAGCCGCGGCGCUGGUCGCCGGCGCUGCCGUGGGCAUCUACUUCCUCUGGCCUGCUGGGGCGGUGGCCGCCGGCGCCACGAUGAAGGCGCCAGGCGCGGCCGGCUUCUUCAUCUCCCGCGCGGCAUUCGUGGCGAAUCCGCAGCUGUAUUUUCAGAUACUGCGCACUGCCGGCGCCGCGGCGGCGGCCGCUGCCUUCGCUCUGUAA
rnacentral:rRNA from 1 species